rnacentral:rRNA from 1 species
UACGUAGGGUGCAAGCGUUGUCCGGAAUUAUUGGGCGUAAAGAGCUCGUAGGCGGUCUGUCGCGUCGGCUGUGAAAUCCCGAGGCUCAACCUCGGGUCUGCAGUCGAUACGGGCAAACUAGAGUAUUGCAGGGGAGACUGGAAUUCCUGGUGUAGCGGUGAAAUGCGCAGAUAUCAGGAGGAACACCGGUGGCGAAGGCGGGUCUCUGGGCAAUAACUGACGCUGAGGGGCGAAAGCGUGGGGAGCGAACAGG